rnacentral:rRNA from 2 species
GCGACCCCGGGUCAGGCGGGACUACCCGCUGAGUUUAAGCAUAUCAAUAAGCGGAGGA